rnacentral:rRNA from 1 species
UACGAAGGGUGCAAACGUUGCUCGGAAUUAUUGGGCGUAAAGCGCACGUAGGCGGCUUUGCAAGUUGGAUGUGAAAGCCCUCGGCUUAACCAAGGAAGUGCAUCCAAAACUGCCGAGCUUGAGUAGUUAAGAGGAUCGCGGAAUUCCCGGUGUAGAGGUGAAAUUCGUAGAUAUCGGGAGGAACACCAGUGGCGAAGGCGGCGAUCUGGGAACAUACUGACGCUGAGGUGCGAAAGCGUGGGAGCAAACAGGAUUAGAUACCCCCGUAGUCC